rnacentral:rRNA from 1 species
CCCUUAGAUGUUCUGGGCCGCACGCGCGCUACACUGACGAUGGCAACGAGUUUUUCCUUCGCCGAAAGGUGUGGGUAAUCUUUUGAAACAUCGUCGUGCUGGGGAUAGAUCAUUGCAAUUUUUGAUCUUGAACGAGGAAUUCCUAGUAAGCGCGAGUCAUCAGCUCGCGUUGAUUACGUCCCUGCCCUUUGUACACACCGCCCGUCGCUACUACCGAUUGAAUGGUUUAGUGAGGACUCCUGAUUGGUGCCGCCGCCCCGGCAACGGAGCAGCGGACUGCCGAAAAGUUGUUCAAACUUGAUCAUUUAGAGGAAGUAAAAGUCGUAACA